AUUGACAGUUGACAUUUGAAGGAUGUAACAAUUUGUGUCUGAUUUUGUGGUUAGCGUUAAGUCCUUCAACUUUUUGUUUACUGUUGUUUUAGUUAAUUAUCGAAAAUAUAUAAAAGUAAUUACGUAGGUACUUGUAGUAAAAGCACUUUUAGUAAAUUGAUUAAAAUUAUCUGUAUUUACUUUCUGCCGGAAAUAAAUUAACUGUGAGCAUAACAUUUUUAACGAUGUCUGGACCAGUACAAGAUGUUGUAGAAGAAGACGCAGCAGAUUUACAGUUUCCUAAAGAAUUUGAAAAUGCUGAGACAUUGCUGAUCUCAGAAGUAGACAUGUUAUUGGAGCAUAGGAAAGCGCAAAAUGAAUCAGCUGAAGAAGAACAAGAAUUCUCAGAAGUGUUUAUGAAGACACUCACAUACACUAAUAUGUUUAAGAAAUUCAAAA